UAGGGAAUAUUGGACAAUGGGGGCAACCCUGAUCCAGCCAUGCCGCGUGAGUGAAGAAGGCCCUCGGGUUGUAAAGCUCUUUUGUCCGGAAAGAAAAGCAUUCGGUGAAUACCCGGAUGUUCUGACGGUACCGGAAGAAUAAGCACCGGCUAACUUCGUGCCAGCAGCCGCGGUAAUACGAAGGGUGCAAGCGUUACUCGGAAUUACUGGGCGUAAAGCGUGCGUAGGUGGUUGUUUAAGUCUGAUGUGAAAGCCCUGGGCUCAACCGUGGAAUUGAUCUGGAAGCUGGGCAGCUAGAGUGCGGUAGAGGGUAGUUGAAUUCCCGGUGUAGCAGGGAAAUGCGUAGAGAUCGGGAGGAACAUCUGUGGCGAAGGCGACUGCCUGGACCAGCACUGACACUGAGGCACGAAAGCGUGG
rnacentral:rRNA from 1 species